CACUUUUACCGUUCUCGUCGGCUUUGUACGCAGUCGUUGGCCUGGAAGCCAAUACGCAAAUUCGUAAGCUACUUGUAUUGGAAUUCCACCAAUCGGCAAUGAGGGUCGUUUCUUCUUUGGAUCACGCGGUAUUAGCACCUCGAGUGGAGUUUUGUUCGUUAUUUUUAUAAAUAAUUUUUUUAAAUGAACGUGGAGAAUAAAAAUCUGUUGUAAAACUUUUGCAACGCAAUAAAAAUAAUGGUUGAUUUCGCCAGUACUUUUUACAGGUAAGCUGUUCAUAUAUAUGUAUAUUUCUUAAUUAUAAAGUUAUAAAGACAUUAUUAUAUUUGCUAAAAAUGAUAAAAAAAAUAUAAUUCUAAAACGAAAGUUAUAAUCUUGCCCAUGUUUCGAUAAAAUAGGAAAAUUGGAUUCGAGUUACGCCAUAAGAGAUAAACAAUAACCAUGGCACGAAUUGUGUGUUCUUUGUUAAACAGUGAGAAGUUGGAUCUACAAAAAGUGUAGGGAAAUGAAGAAAAGUUGCAAAAAUGGAAAACCAUUCCAAGAAGACAGGUGGUGGUCUACCAACAAAAGAAGCUUUGACAACGUUAGAGGAAAAAUUAGUCUCUCUUUUUGGAGCUGCGCCGAUAGAUGGUAUCGAAGACACCCGAAAGUGAUGCGGAUUUUGUAAACACCAAGAAAAAAGAGAAAAUUCAAUUUAAUUAAUGAUGUAUCAAUGGAGUAUGGUAAUGAACAAAAGCAGAGUACAGAAGCAUUAAGUCAUAUUGGGGAUAUUCUAAGUAAAAAAAAUUAGCUAGGAGAAAGAAAUAUUAAAGCCGAAGAAAGAAAAGCUGCCGCAGAGGAAACAUUAACAGAAUUUAUAUCUGUAUAUUUAAAUAAUAAUAAACAUUAUAAAUAACGUGUAAUUUUAUUGUAAAUGAAGUUAUAGAGCCCCGGUUUCGUCUCCUAUCUGCUAAAAUAAAAGUU